AGAAUAUAAAAACUCGUCUUUUAACUUUUAACUAAAAAAAAUUAAGAACCAGUUUUUAAAUAUUUUAUUUAAGAACCGGUUCUUAGCUUUUCUAGUUAAAAGUUAAGAGACGAGUUCUUAUAAUCU
rfam:Brassica oleracea var. oleracea cultivar TO1000 chromosome C6, whole genome shotgun sequence